GAUGAACGCUAGCGACAGGCUUAACACAUGCAAGUCGAGGGGCAUCGGGGAGUAGCAAUACUCUGCCGGCGACCGGCGCACGGGUGAGUAACGCGUAUGCAACUUACCUAUCAGAGGAGAAUAGCUCAUCGAAAGAUGAAUUAAUGCUCCAUGAAACAGGGGUCCCGCAUGGGAAUAUUUGUUAAAGAUUUAUCGCUGAUAGAUAGGCAUGCGUUCCAUUAGGCAGUUGGCGGGGUAACGGCCCACCAAACCGACGAUGGAUAGGGGUUCUGAGAGGAAGGUCCCCCACAUUGGUACUGAGACACGGACCAAACUCCUACGGGAGGCAGCAGUGAGGAAUAUUGGUCAAUGGGCGAGAGCCUGAACCAGCCAAGUAGCGUGAAGGAUGAAGGUUCUAUGGAUUGUAAACUUCUUUUAUACGGGAAUAAAACCUCCCACGUGUGGGAGCUUGUAUGUACCGUAUGAAUAAGCAUCGGCUAACUCCGUGCCAGCAGCCGCGGUAAUACGGAGGAUGCGAGCGUUAUCCGGAUUUAUUGGGUUUAAAGGGAGCGCAGACGGGAGAUUAAGUCAGCUGUGAAAGUUUGCGGCACAACCGUAAAAUUGCAGUUGAUACUGGUUUCCUUGAGUGCGGUUGAGGUGUGCGGAAUUCGUGGUGUAGCGGUGAAAUGCUUAGAUAUCACGAAGAACCCCGAUUGCGAAGGCAGCACACUAAGCCGUAACUGACGUUCAUGCUCGAAAGUGUGGGUAUCAAACAGG
rnacentral:rRNA from 1 species